rnacentral:rRNA from 1 species
UACGAAGGGUGCAAGCGUUAUUCGGAAUCAUUGGGCGUAAAGCGCGCGCAGGCGGAUUAAUAAGUCAGGUGUGAAAUCUCGGGGCUCAACCUCGAAACUGCGCCUGAAACUAUUAGUCUAGAAUGUCGGAGGGGGCAGGGGAAUUUCACGUGUAGGGGUAAAAUCCGUAGAGAUGUGAAGGAACACCGGAGGCGAAGGCGCCUGCCUGGACGACUAUUGACGCUGAGGCGCGAAAGCGUGGGGAGCAAACAGG